rnacentral:rRNA from 1 species
CCUACGGGGGGCUGCAGUAAGGAAUAUUGGUCAAUGGACGAAAGUCUGAACCAGCCAUCCCGCGUGCAGGAUGAAAGCCCUAUGGGUUGUAAACUGCUUUUAGCAGAGAAGAAAAGCUUUCAUUAAUGAGAGUCUGACGGUAUCUGCAGAAUAAGCACCGGCUAACUCCGUGCCAGCAGCCGCGGUAAUACGGAGGGUGCGAGCGUUAUCGGGAAUUACUGGGUUGAAAGCGUGCGUUUAAGUCAUUUUAGAAAUCUUGUCGCUUAACGAUAAACUUGCCAAUGAUACUGGUAGUCUUGAAGUGGGUUGAGGUUAGCGGAAUGUGACAUGUAGCGGUGAAAUGCAUAGAUAUGUCAUGGAACACCAAGUGCGAAGGCAGCUAACUGGGCCUUGAUUGACGCUGAGGCACGAAAGCGUGGGUAGCGAACAGGAUUAGAUACCCCAGUAGUC